AACGAACGCUGGCGGCGUGCCUAACACAUGCAAGUCGAGCGAGAAAGCCCGCAAGGGUGAGUAAAGCGGCGCACGGGUGCGUAACACGUGGGUAAUCUGCACUGAAGUCCGGAAUAACUCGCCGAAAGGCCUGCUAAUGCCGGAUAAGACCACGGGAACCUCGGUUCCUGCGGGAAAAGGUGGCCUCUGUACACCAGCAAUCACUUCACACUGAGCCCGCGGCCCAUCAGCUAGUUGGCGGGGUAAUGGCCCACCAAGGCUACGACGGGUAGCUGGUCUAAGAGGACGAUCAGCCACACUGGAACUGAGACACGGUCCAGACUCCUACGGGAGGCAGCAGUGGGGAAUCUUGCGCAAUGGGUGAAAGCCUGACGCAGCAACGCCGCGUGUGUGAUGAAGGUCUUCGGAUCGUAAAGCACUGUCGGGAGUGACGAAUAGGGCGCCGGCUAACAUCCGGCGCUGAUGAUGGUACCUCCAAAGGAAGCACCGGCUAACUCUGUGCCAGCCGCCGCGGUAACAC
rnacentral:rRNA from 1 species